rnacentral:rRNA from 1 species
UACGAAGGGGGCUAGCGUUGCUCGGAAUUACUGGGCGUAAAGGGUGCGUAGGCGGUUGUUUAAGUUUGGUGUGAAAUCUCCCGGCUCAACUGGGAGGGUGCGCCGAAUACUGAAUGACUAGAGUGCGGGAGAGGAGAGUGGAAUUCCUGGUGUAGCGGUGAAAUGCGUAGAUAUCAGGAGGAACACCGGUGGUGUAGACGGCUCUCUGGGCCUUACCUGACGCUGAGGAGCGAAAGCGUGGGGAGCGAACAGG